UGAAUCAAUCGUUCAUGUUGGCUACAUUAGACGAGAAAUCAUGAUAAAAUCUGGAAAGUUAACUUUCCUCAUUUUGUUCCUUACUUCAGUUACAGUCAAUGCAGAGAGGUGUGAGACUACUUCAGAUUGCCUUCAAUGUCCUUUGCAUAAAUGGGAAAAAACAACAUGUUUGAAGGGAACCUGUUACUGUUUGACAAAUUACAUGUGUUUAUAUGGGAGCGACGAGAGUUGUCGAUACCAAUGUUUCGCCUAUCCGUACACUAAGUACCGCUGUCUAGGACUCUAUUGUGGCUGUAGUAAUCCUUUCUAUUGAAGACGUUUAUUUUGGUCAUUAAAAGAAAACAUAA